rnacentral:misc_RNA from 1 species
GAUGAAGAACGUAGCGAAAUGCGAUAAGUAAUGUGAAUUGCAGAAUUCAGUGAAUCAUCGAAUCUUUGAACGCACCUUGCGCCCUUUGGCUAUUCUGAAGGGCAUGCCUGUUUGAGUAUCGUGAACACCUCAACUCUCAUGGUCUGCCAUGAUGAGCUUGGACUUUGGGGGUCUUGCUGGCCUACUGUCAGCUCCUCUCAAAUGAAUCAGCUUACCAGUGUUUGGUGGCACCACAGGUGUGAUAACUAUCUACGCUUGUGGUUUUCUGCCAGGUAACCUCCAGUGAUGGAGGUUCGCUGGAGCUCACAAAUGUCUCUCCUCAGCGAGGACAGCUUUUUGAACGUUUGAUCUCAAAUCAGGUAGGACUACCCGCUGAACUUAAGCAUAUCAAUAAGGGAGGA